AUUGAACGCUGGCGGCAGGCCUAACACAUGCAAGUCGAGCGAGCGGCGGACGGGUGAGUAAUGUCUGGGAAACUGCCUGAUGGAGGGGGAUAACUACUGGAAACGGUAGCUAAUACCGCAUACCAUCAGAUGUGCCACGAUGUGAUUAGCUAGUAGGUGGGGUAACGGAUAACCUUGGCGACGCUCCCUAGCUGGUCUGAGAGGAUGACCAGCCACACUGGACCUGAGCUACGGUCCAGACGCCUACGGGAGGCAGCAGUGGGGAAUAUUGCACAAUGGGCGCAAGCCUGAUGCAGCCAUGCCGCGUGUGUGAAGAAGGCCUUCGGGUUGUAGAGCACUUUCAGCGGGGAGGCGUUACCCGCAGAAGAAGCACCGGCUAACUCCGUGCCAGCCGCCGCGGUAAUUC
rnacentral:rRNA from 1 species